rnacentral:rRNA from 1 species
UACGGAGGGUGCAAGCGUUAUCCGGAUUCACUGGGUUUAAAGGGUGCGUAGGAGGGCAGGUAAGUCAGUGGUGAAAUCUCCAAGCUUAACUUGGAAACUGCCGUUGAUACUAUCUGUCUUGAAUACCGUGGAGGUGAGCGGAAUAUGUCAUGUAGCGGUGAAAUGCCUAGAUAUGACAUAGAACACCAAUUGCGAAGGCAGCUCGCUACACGAAUAUUGACUCUGAGGCACGAAAGCGUGGGGAUCAAACAGG